rnacentral:rRNA from 1 species
CCUACGGGAGGCAGCAGUGAGGAAUAUUGGUCAAUGGUCGGGAGACUGAACCAGCCAAGCCGCGUGAGGGAUGAAGGUACAGAGUAUCGUAAACCUCUUUUGUCAGGGAACAAAGGCGGUGACGUGUCCCCGGAUGAGUGUACCUGAAGAAAAAGCAUCGGCUAACUCCGUGCCAGCAGCCGCGGUAAUACGGAGGAUGCGAGCGUUAUCCGGUUUUAGUGGGUUUAAAGGGUGCGCAGGCGGUCUGUUAAGUCCGCGUGCAAAGCCCGGGGCUCAACCCCGGCCCGCCGUUGAACCUGGCAGUCUCGAGUUGGAGAGAAGUAUGCGGAAUGCGCGGUGUAGCGGUGAAAUGCAUAGAUAUCGCGCAGAACUCCGAUUGCGAAGGCAGCAUGCCGGCUCCACACUGACGCUGAGGCACGAAAGCGUGGGUAUCGAACAGGAUUAGAUACCCGGGUAGUC